rfam:Methanospirillum hungatei JF-1, complete genome.
CGGGAUCCGUCCCGUUAGGAAUGUAGCCUGAUUCAGGCUGAACCUGGUG